rnacentral:rRNA from 1 species
AUGCAUAUGUUGGCGUAUAGUGUUCCUGCUGAAAAAACAGAUGACCAUGUAAGACUUGGUGCAUCUACGACACUCGAGUGUCUUGAGAAUUUUUCUCAGGGGGUCAUUGCUAAGUUUGGUGGAGAAUAUUUGCAAAGGCCAACUGUUGAAGUCAUUCAACGUCUACUAGAAAUUGGUGAAGCACGUGGUUUUCCUGUACCAAAGCCGCAAUGGGCACCAGUUCCUGUAUGUGCAUUGGUGGGAAGCUGUGAAAGACAGCCAAAAGUGGAAGAUUCAUGUAUACACAGAAGGAGAUGGAACAAAGAGGUCAUCACCAAUACCAACUGA